rnacentral:misc_RNA from 1 species
AACGCACCUUGCACCCUUUGGUAUUCCGAAGGGUAUGCCUGUUCGAGUGUCAUGAAACUCUCAAACCGUCAACUUUAUUGAUGGCGGGUUUGGACUUGGACGUUGCUGGGUUUACGCUCGGCUCGUCUUAAAUGUAUUAGCUGGCUCUUUUGGCUUCAGUUACUCGGUGUGAUAAUACAUCUACGCCGUAGCCGCAAGGCGCUGAGGUCGAAUACGGAGUGGCUCAUAACCGUCUUCGGACAAUUUUCAUCACAUCUGGCCUCGAAUCAGGUAGGACUACCCGCUGAACUUAA